GACGUAGGGCGCGAGCGUUGUCCGGAUUUAUUGGGCGUAAAGAGCUCGUAGGCGGCUUGUCGCGUCGACCGUGAAAACCCGGGGCUCAACCCCGGGCCUGCAGCCGAUACGGGCAGACUAGAGUUCGGCAGGGGAGACUGGAAUUCCUGGUGUAGCGGUGAAAUGCGCAGAUAUCAGGAGGAACACCGGUGGCGAAGGCGGGUUUCUGGGCCGAUACUGACGCUGAGGAGCGAAAGCGUGGGGAGCGAACAGG
rnacentral:rRNA from 1 species